rnacentral:rRNA from 1 species
UACGGAGGGUGCAAGCGUUAUCCGGAUUUAUUGGGCUUAAAGGGUACGUAGGCGGACUCGUAAGUCAGUGGUGAAAUCUCAUAGCUUAACUAUGAAACUGCCAUUGAUACUGCGGGUCUUGAGUAAAGUAGAAGUGGCUGGAAUAAGUAGUGUAGCGGUGAAAUGCAUAGAUAUUACUUAGAACACCAAUGGCGAAGGCAGGUCACUAUGUUUUAACUGACGCUGAUGGACGAAAGCGUGGGGAGCGAACAGG